CUCAGAUUGAACGCUGGCGGCAGGCCUAACACAUGCAAGUCGAGCGGAAGAGAGAAGCUUGCUUCUCAAUUCAGCGGCGGACGGGUGAGUAAUGCCUAGGAAUCUGCCUGGUAGUGGGGGACAACGUUUCGAAAGGAACGCUAAUACCGCAUACGUCCUACGGGAGAAAGCAGGGGACCUUCGGGCCUUGCGCUAUCAGAUGAGCCUAGGUCGGAUUAGCUAGUUGGUGGGGUAAUGGCUCACCAAGGCGACGAUCCGUAACUGGUCUGAGAGGAUGAUCAGUCACACUGGAACUGAGACACGGUCCAGACUCCUACGGGAGGCAGCAGUGGGGAAUAUUGGACAAUGGGCGAAAGCCUGAUCCAGCCAUGCCGCGUGUGUGAAGAAGGUCUUCGGAUUGUAAAGCACUUUAAGUUGGGAGGAAGGGCAGUAAAUUAAUACUUUGCUGUUUUGACGUUACCGACAGAAUAAGCACCGGCUAACUCUGUGCCAGCAGCCGCGGUAAUACAGAGGGUGCAAGCGUUAAUCGGAAUUACUGGGCGUAAAGCGCGCGUAGGUGGUUUGUUAAGUUGGAUGUGAAAUCCCCGGGCUCAACCUGGGAACUGCAUUCAAAACUGACAAGCUAGAGUAUGGUAGAGGGUGGUGGAAUUUCCUGUGUAGCGGUGAAAUGCGUAGAUAUAGGAAGGAACACCAG
rnacentral:rRNA from 1 species